rnacentral:rRNA from 1 species
AGAGUUUGAUCAUGGCUCAGGAUGAACGCUAGCGGGAGGCUUAACACAUGCAAGUCGAGGGGCAUCACGAGGUAGCAAUACUUUGGUGGCGACCGGCGCACGGGUGAGUAACACGUAUGCAACCUACCCUUUACAGGGGGAUAGCCCGGAGAAAUUCGGAUUAAUACCCCAUGACAAUAUUGAGAGGCAUCUUUUGAUAUUUAAAGUUUCGACGGUAGAGGAUGGGCAUGCGCAACAUUAGCUAGUUGGUAGGGUAACGGCCUACCAAGGCUACGAUGUUUAGGGGACCUGAGAGGGUGAUCCCCCACACUGGUACUGAGACACGGACCAGACUCCUACGGGAGGCAGCAGUGAGGAAUAUUGGUCAAUGGGCGUAAGCCUGAACCAGCCAUCCCGCGUGCAGGAAGACGGCGCUAUGCGUUGUAAACUGCUUUUCCAGGGAAAGAAAACCCCCGACGUGUCGGGGCUUGCCGGUACCCUGGGAAUAAGCAUCGGCUAACUCCGUGCCAGCAGCCGCGGUAAUACGGAGGAUGCGAGCGUUAUCCGGAUUUAUUGGGUUUAAAGGGUGCGUAGGCGGGUUAAUAAGUCAGUGGUGAAAACCUUCAGCUUAACUGGAGACUUGCCAUUGAUACUGUUAGUCUUGAGUACGGUCAAGGUAGGCGGAAUGUGUAAUGUAGCGGUGAAAUGCUUAGAUAUUACACAGAACACCGAUUGCGAAGGCAGCUUACUGGACCAAUACUGACGCUGAUGCACGAAAGCGUGGGGAGCGAACAGGAUUAGAUACCCUAGUAGUCC